UGUCCAUAAUGGCCUGUCAUGGCCCUGUCAUGACCUGAUGUUUUCUUGAUGUUUUGACAUGACCUGAUAAAACCUGAAGUUCCCGUUGCUGAUACUCACCCCUCCCUUCGGGCAAUGUAUUUCUGUCCAAAGUUCCUGUUUUGUGCUGAGAAAGUAGCCGCUUCUUGUUCAAGACUGUUAGAAAAGCAUAUAUUCAAAUAAGAUUGCUCAAAUCGAAAAUGUACCGACUUGUGACCCAUCCCUGCUUUAACUUGUGACCCAUCCUUGCUUGAACGAAUAAAUACAGCCGUGACAAAGCCGAGAAUCAGAACACUUUGGGCAGUGACUGAAGCAAGUCAGCUGACCUUGCAUGAGUACUGUCGUGUUCUCCCUCUGCAGCGGUGAAUCGUAUCUUGACUGGUUUUUGACUCCCACAUCAACUCAGAAGCAAACAUCUUUUUCUUUAAUCGUCCCGAACCUGUCUUGGUCGCUUUUCAGGACCAACAGGUCCGACACCGGUGUACCAUCAGAUCGCUACACCUGCCGGCUCUCCCCAAGACGUCAUCCUCACUGUCAUCCAAUGCAUCCAUGCAUACAACUUUUGACGCCUCUGCUGAAUUGACCAUCUUAAAAUUCGCAUAACUCAGCCUUAGCAACUUGUUGACUAGCCCUACUUUUGGUCCACUCCACUCCGGAUCUCUCGUCUCCAUUUUUUUCUCCCGUUGAGAGCACACAGCCUAGCGCCCUCUGCUGUUAGGGGAGUGUAACAACCCCAGACAAAUAUCAGCAUGUGCAAAUAAUUAGACCCCGAUUAUAAGACCACGUUUUAAAAUUAUUUUCAAUGAAAAAAACCUUGUCUUAUAUUCGGGUCAAUACAGUAAUCUGACCGUGGUAUGUCACAUUGAAUCGAGGAACUCACACAUCUUGGCUAACAACGAGGAAGGCUGUUGUUGUUUCUAUGUCCAGGAAACAGCAGAGAACGUCUCGGCUAGUAGACGCUAACUGAUAGCAUUAGAAACUCUCACACGGCAGAACUCCUCCAAGUAUGUUUGUGGAGAUAAAUAAUCAAUGUUGCAAAGUAAAUUAGAGUCAGUAUUAGAGUUGCGUUCCGGUUAGCCAAUCAGAAGUUGGAUGUUCAAAUAUCAAGGAAUAAGACUCCAAAUCCUGCUGAGUUCUGUUCACCACUCCUCUGGCUAACUUCUAUUUCCUGAAACAGGAGUGCAAGAGCUUUCAUUUACAGUGGGACAAAAAAGUAAUUAGUCAGCCACCGAUUGUGCAAGUUCUCCCACUUAAAAUGAUGACAGAGGUCAGUAAUUUUCAUCAUAGGUACACUUCAACUGUGAGAGACAGAAUGGCAGGAUUUUUAAAGAAUUUAUUUGUAAAUCAGGGUGGAAAAUAAGUAUUUGGUCACUUCAAACAAGAAAAAUCUCUGGCUCUCACAGACCUGCAACGUCUUCUUUAAGAAGCUUUUCUGUCCUCCACUUGUUACCUGUAUUAAUGGCACCUGUUUGAACGCAUGUAUAAAAGACACCUGUCCACAGCCUCAAACAGUCAGACUCCAAACUCCACUAUGGCCAAGACCAAAGAGCUUUUGAAGGACACCAGGAAAAGAAUUGUAGACCUGCACCAGACUGGGAAGAAUGAAUCUACAAUAGGCAAGCAGCUUGGUGUGAAAAAAUCAACUGUGGGAGCAAUUAUCAGAAAAUGGAAGGCAUACAAGACCACUGAUAAUCUCCCUCGAUAUGGGGCUCCACCAUAGACUGUAAAUACUGGACAAACGGAUUCCAUUGGCUUCAAUAACACGUUUGUUGUCUAUAAUGGGAGGUGGCCACCACCGCCAUUUUGACCGUGUCACAGGUUCCGUCCAGCCCAGACAAUUCCAUAAAAGGGAAGAGAGGAGGCGCUGAGGGUGUGGCUGUAAGGCUGGGCUCGAGUGACGACACCCAGGCGAACUAGCUACGAGCUAACCUGAAGCUAACCCUGGCUAACCCAAAGCUAAAGCGGAGGUGGGAGCCGAGCUAACGGAUGUAGCCACCUAGCUUCAACCCAACCGGAGCUAACUGGAACACCCAUCGACCUGAACCUCACACGGAGUUUAGGUGGAGGUUUUCUGCGCCUGUUCGUGAGAAGUACCUGUAUUAAAAAAGUUUUAAAUCGAUCUAUUAAAAGGUCACCAUGGCAGCCUGUGUGUCAAUGUCAGCUACACAAAGCAGCAAGUGUAAGUACCAAGUACUUGUCUUGACCACUUCAUGAAUGGUUUUGUACUUUAAACAGCUAGGCCAAACCUGUUAUUUUUUCCUCCAUAGCCAUUUGGAUCAUUGGAGACAGCUGAGUGAGGAGUGGUGCCCAGAGAGCUGCAGAGACAACCUUGGCCUCCCUGACGUCUGUGUCUCUUGGUUUGGUUGGGGCGGACCAUCGACAUACAUACAUGUGCCGACACUUUGCGCCCUGUUUUAUAAACUGUAGUGUUAAAAAUAAAUGUUUUUGCUCAA